UUCGUGUGAUUUUUUUUAACAUUUUAAUCCAUACUAACUAUGUCGGGCAAAAGAAGAAAGUGGUCGGACGAAUAUGUACAAUAUGGAUUCACAUGUAUCACAGAACGUGAUGGGAGUGAGCGUCCUAUCUGCAUGAUUUGCAUUGCCAAGUUGAGCAACUCUAGUCUCGGCACAACACCGGCAAAACUAAAGGAACACUUCUUGAAGCUGCAUGGAGACGGGGAAUACAAGAACACAACACUUGCUAAAUUCAAGGUGAAGAGAGCCAGAUUCGAUGAAAGGCCCACUCUGCCUGCUCUUAAACCGAUCCUCACAGCAUCGUACGAAGUUGCUUACCUGAUCGCAAAGCAGGGCAAGCCACACACCAUUGAUGAAACACUCGUGAAACCAGCUGCGUUAAAGAUGGCAAAUCUGAUACUCGGAACAGCGGCCGAAGGUAAAUUAUCCCAAAUUCCUCUUUCAAAUGACACCGUCAGCGACAGAAUAGAAGACAUGAGUAAAGACAUCUUGCCUCAAGUAGUCGCCGAUCUGAUUUCAAGACCGGCAAAAUUCAGCCUUCAGCUCGAUGAGAGCACAGACGUUACUAAUCUAAGCCAGCUUACUGUUUUUGUGCGCUAUGUGAAAGAUGACAUGAUAAAAGAAGAUUUUUUAUUUUGUAAGCCUCUUACAACAACAAAGGCAGCCGAUGUGAAGAAGCUUGUGGAUGACUUCUUCAGAGACAACAAUCUUUCAUGGGACAUGGUUUCUGCAGUUUGUAUGGACGGAGUCAUGCUUCCAGUCAUGCUGGGAAGAAACUCUGGUUUUGGUGCGCUAGUAAAAGCCGAUGCACCACACAUCAUUGUGACUCAUUGUAUUUUGCACAGGCAUGCAUUGGCAACAAAAACCUUUCCUCCAAAAAUGGCAGAAGUAUUAAAAACUGUGGUGGAAUGUGUGAACUAUGUGCGAAAUAGUGCUCUGAGGCACCGCAUCUUCAGUGAGCUGUGUAAAGAAAUGGGCUCUGAAUUCGAGGUACUUCUGUACCAUUCUAAUGUUCGGUGGUUAUCCCGGGGACAGGUGCUGAAUCGUGUUUUUGCCAUGCGUGUGGAAUUAGCCCUGUUUUUGCAAGAGCACCAACACUGUCAUGCAGAUUGCUUCAAAGAUCCUGAGUUCAUUCUCAUUUUAGCGUACAUGGCUGAUAUAUUCGCAGCUCUCAAUCAGCCGAUGCAGGUGGUGGAGUUAAUAUCAUAGAAGCGGAAGAACACCUGAAGGCUUUUCAAAAAAAGCUAACGUUAUGGAAACGAUGAACAGAGAACAACAACUUCGCAAACUUCCCCCUUCUGGACAACUGUGUAAGUAAGAUCGAAGAUGUGUCUGGAAUCGGAGAUAUUUCUGUAUCCACGGAACUGAAGCAAACAAUUGCAACGCACUUAGAUGAGCUUGCAAAGUCUCUCGACAGAUAUUUCCCUACAAGAGAGUCAUAUCCAGCAUGGGUGAGACAGCCGUUCACGUUUGCUGUUGAGACAGCAGAUGUCAAUGAUGAAUACCUUGACGAAAUCAUUGAAAUUCAGCAGAGCCAGGUUCAACAGCAACUCUUGAGAACAACAACGCUCUCAACGUUUUGGUGUCGACAAAUGGACAAGUAUCCAAUUAUUGCUAAGUAAGCCCUGGAUUUUUUUUAUACCAUUUGUUACAACAUAUCUUUGCGAGCAAUCCUUUUCGACGAUGCUGGACAUAAAAACAAAGAAAAGGAACAGACUUUUCUGUGAAAAUGACAUGAGAGUGGCACUUGCCAAGGUGAAGCCACGCAUAUCUGAACUGGUCUCUCAAAGGCAACAGCAGAAGUCACACUGAUUUGCAGAACUGAUCAAGAACCCAGUGGACGGCUUUUCUGCCGGGCUCGUGGACGAUGAUAACAUCUAUCAGUGGGAAGUGGUCGUUAUUGGACCUCAGGACACGUUAUAUGAAGGAGGUUUCUUCAAAGCCAUCU